AUGAUACAGAUGACAGAGGUGUUGGGAGGGGGCCAGGCCUGCUCCUUGGGGUGCGGGGCAGCCAGCAUCACUGCCCCGUCGGUCUUCCCUCUGGCUCCGUGCAGCACCAGCACACCCGACUCCACCUUGAUCCUGGGCUGCCUGGUGAGCAACUACUUCCCACAGCCCUUGACCGUGUCCUGGAGCCCGGAGGCCCACUCUGGCGUGCACACCUACCAGCCCUUCCUGGGGUCGUCUGGCCUCUACUCCGUCAGCAGCACGGUGACCGUGCCCUCCAGCAGCUGGCCCAGCCAGGUCUACUCCUGCAAAGUCACCCACACACCAACCAAGACCACGGUGACCAAGAAUAUUGUGCCCAGAUCCAACUGCGAAGGAACAGAAUGUUCUAAGAAAUGCACCCCGUGCACAGGUGAGGUUCCAGGAGGACCCUCUGUCUUCAUCUUCCCUCCCAAGCCCAAGGACACCCUCAUGAUCUCCCGAAACCCAGAGGUGACAUGUCUGGUAGUGGACGUGGGGCAGGACGACCCCAAUGUCCAGUUCAGCUGGUUCGUGGAUGGCAAGGAGGUGCACACAGCCAAGAACGGGCCACAAGAGGAGCAGUACAACAGCACCAUCCGCAUGGUCAGCGUGCUCCCCAUCCUGCAUCAGGACUGGCUCAAGGGCAAGGAGUUCAAGUGCAAGGUCAACAACGGGGCCCUGCCGGCACCCAUUGUCAAGAGCAUCUCCAAAGCCAAAGGGCAGCCCCAAGAACCCCAAGUGUAUGCCUUGCCCCCACACCGAGAUGAGCUGACCAAGAACAAGGUCAGCCUCACCUGCCUGGUGAAGGGAUUCUACCCCGCUGACAUAGAUGUGGAGUGGAAGAGCAAUGAGCGGCCCGAGCCUGAGGCCAACUAUGUGAACACACCUCCCCAAGUGGAGGGCGACGGGACCUUCUUCUUGUACAGUAAGCUGACGGUGCCUAGGAACGUCUGGGAACAAGGGACGACUUUCCACUGCGUGGUGAUGCACGAGGCCCUGCACAACCACUACACCCAGAAGGCGGUCUCUCGGUCCCCGGAGCUGCACCCAGAUGAGAGUUGUGCAGAAGCCCAGGACGGGGAGCUGGAUGGGCUAUGGACCACCAUCUCCAUCUUCAUCACCCUCUUCCUGCUCAGCGUGUGUUACAGCGCCACCGUCACCCUCUUCAAGGUGAACUGGAUUUUCUCCUCUGUCGGGGAACUGAAACGCACCAUCGUGCCUGACUACAGAAACAUGAUCGGCCAGGCAGCCUAG